UACGGAAGGCAGCAGUGGGGAAUAUUGCACAAUGGGCGAAAGCCUGAUGCAGCUAUGCCGCGUGUAUGAAGAAGGCCUUAGGGUUGUAAAGUACUUUCAUCGGGGAGGAAAAAACAAAACUAAUAAUUUUAUUUCUUGACGUUACCCGAAAAAGAAGCACCGGCUAACUCCGUGCCAGCAGCCGCGGUAAUACGGAGGGUGCUAGCGUUAAUCAGAAUUACUGGGCGUAAAGAGCACGUAGGUGGUUUUUUUAAAGUCAGAUGUGAAAAUCCCUGGGCUUAACCUGGAAACUGCAUUUUGAAACUGAAAAUCUAAGAGUAUCGUAGAGGGAGGUGAAAUUCUAGGUGUAGCGGUGAAAAUGCGUAGAUAUCUGGAGGAAUACCUGUGGCGAAAGCGGCCUCCUAAACGAAUACUGACACUGAGGUGCGAAAGCUGGGGAGCAAAACAGGGAUUAGAUACC
rnacentral:rRNA from 1 species